CCUCACGCGCCUGCUGUUGAGAACGUGCUCAGGAGGACGUGCCGCUGCUCAGGACAGUUCAAACAGUUCGGAGAUUGCGUGAAUCAGAUGACUGCU